rnacentral:misc_RNA from 1 species
AAAUGCGAUAAGUAGUGUGAAUUGCAGAAUUCAGUGAAUCAUCGAAUCUUUGAACGCACAUUACGCCCUUUGGUAUUCCAAAGGGCAUGCCUGUUCGAGCGUCAUUUGUACCCUCAAGCUUUGCUUGGUGUUGGGCGUCUUGUCUCUAGCUUUGCUGGAGACUCGCCUUAAAGUAAUUGGCAGCCGGCCUACUGGUUUCGGAGCGCAGCACAAGUCGCACUCUCUAUCAGCAAAGGUCUAGCAUCCAUUAAGCCUUUUUUCAACUUUUGACCUCGGAUCAGGUAGGGAUACCCGCUGAACUUAAGC